GCCGGCUUAGCUCAGUUGGUAGAGCACGUGAUUUGUAAUCACGGGGUCGCGGGUUCGAUCCCUGCAGCCGGCACCA
rnacentral:tRNA from 2 species